rnacentral:rRNA from 1 species
CCUACGGGAGGCAGCAGUGGGGAAUCUUGCGCAAUGGGCGAAAGCCUGACGCAGCAACGCCGCGUGCGGGAAGAAGGCUUUCGGGCUGUAAACCGCUUUCAGCAGGAACGAAAAUGACGGUACCUGCAGAAGAAGGAGCGGCCAACUAUGUGCCAGCAGCCGCGGUGAUACAUAGGCUUCAAGCGUUGUCCGGAUUUAUUGGGCGUAAAGAGUUCGUAGGCGGUCAAGUAAGUCGGGUGUGAAAAUUCUGGGCUCAACCCAGAGACGCCACCCGAUACUGCUUAACUUGAGUUCGAUAGGGGAGUGGGGAAUUCCUAGUGUAGCGGUGAAAUGCGCAGAUAUUAGGAGGAACACCGGUGGCGAAGGCGCCACUCUGGAUCGAUACUGACGCUGAGGAACGAAAGCAUGGGUAGCAAACAGGAUUAGAUACCCUGGUAGUCCAUGCCGUAAACGGUGGGCACUAGGUGUGGGUUUCUAUUAACGAAAUCCGNGCCGUCGCUAACGCAUUAAGUGCCCCGCCUGGGGAGUCGGUCGCAAGCUAAAACUCAAAUGAAUUGACCGGNUGAGACGNGCGAGACGACGACGAGGAGAGG